rnacentral:rRNA from 1 species
ACGCUCGACACCUACUGGAGGCAGCAGUGGGGAAUAUUGCACAAUGGGGGAAACCCUGAUGCAGCGACGCCGCGUGAAGGAAGAAGUAUCUCGGUAUGUAAACUUCUAUCAGCAGGGAAGAAAAUGACGGUACCUGACUAAGGAGCCCCGGCUAACUACGUGCCCGCAGCCGCGGUAAUCUGAGCGGGCUGGCAAGGC